rnacentral:rRNA from 1 species
CACGGGGGGAGCAAGCGUUGUUCGGAUUCAUUGGGCGUAAAGGGCUCGUAGGUGGCUCUGUAAGUCGGAGGUGAAAUCCCCAGGCUCAACCUGGGAACUGCGUCUGAUACUGGAUGGCUUGAAUCCGGGAGAGGGAUGCAGAAUUCCAGGUGUAGCGGUGAAAUGCGUAGAUAUCUGGAGGAAUACCGGUGGCGAAGGCGGCAUCCUGGACCGGCAUUGACGCUGAGGAGCGAAAGCCAGGGGAGCAAACGGG